GUUUUGACAUAAUGAGCCAAAUUCUGCAAAAAAUGUGUAAUGUGGUGCUCUUUCCGAUGACAUGAAUGACGCCUCUGGAAAUGAGGGAAUCUAAAAGCCAACGUGCACAACUGGUCAAGGAGGGUUGCCCGAUGCUUGACGCGCGCGCGCGCGCGCGUUCCUGGCUGUCAAAUGGCAACAAGCAGCCAUCGCGAGGGCAACUCCUCCCAGCUGAGCUGACAACACGAACCCACUUGCCACCGUCCACAGCGCGAUGGUGUCGUGGAUAAUCUCCAGACUUGUUGUGCUCGUAUUUGGGACAUUGUACCCUGCAUACUCCUCCUACAAAGCUGUGAAAUCGAAGGAUGUGAGAGAAUAUGUGAAAUGGAUGAUGUACUGGAUUAUAUUCGCUCUCUUCACCACAGCGGAAGUCCUCACUGAUAUCUUCCUCUACUGGUGAGAGC